AACAACCAUUUUUCUUUCUUUUCAUUUUUUCCCUUCAGAGAAGCAGGAAGUUUGAAAAGAGGGACGUUUCCUCCGAAAUGUGAAAGACACACAGACGACGGAUCCGGAGGCUGCAUGCCGCAUCCGUGGGAGAUACAGACCCCAGAGACACACAGCAUGUUGGGGGGGGGACUUAUUCUCGGGGGCAUCGCUGAGGGGGAAGCAGCAGCAGAAGAAGCAGUCAUGGAUGAGCUCUGGCAAGACAGCCGUCUAGUUAUGACGCCGGACACAGUGCCACAGCCUGGCUCUAUUACACGGGAAUCUGGAAGCUGCUUUCAUUCUGUCUGAGAGCUGGAGGACACACACACACACACACACACACACACACUGUCGCCUACAGCAAGAAGAGCUUCUGUCCCACAGUAGCGAGGCGCAGGAUCAUGUCCUACAGACUCUCACGCCAGCGGCAACAUCGCCGCAUGUGCCAUGCGCAGCCAGCCUUCAUCCUGAAGCAACAGGCCAUCUGAGGCACCUGGAUCGCAGUGUGCCACCCGGAUCGCAGUGUGCCACCCGGAUUGCAGUGUGCCACCCGGAUUGCAGUGUGCCACCCGGAUCGCAGUGUGCCAUGAGCACACACAUAAGGUUCAUCUGGAACAAGGUCGGGGGUUUGAAAUAAGCUGCCCCAUGGGUAAUGAGGAAAUCACUGCCCCCCCCCUCCCCCACGUAACAGCCAUGGAGAUAAAUGUGACAUGAUUCAACUUUUCUCUGGAAAGGUCAAGUCAGCAAAUCACCUGCCCCCCCCCUCAUAUAAACGCACGCUGCCGUCCACCAACCCACCAUGAAGACCGGCCAUUUACUGCAGCAGCACAGUAGGCAUAAAUCUUUAAACUUGUCCGGACUGUCCUGCGUACUCAUUUGCAAACCAAAGGUCACCGCCUGCUCUUCAGGGAUCUCUGGGGAUUCUCUUGCUUGUGUAAAUCAGUGGGCGUAGCUUGAAAUGAAAACACAAAUCCUGAGUCUGUGGUGAUUUGAGAUCCACGUUACAUGUGGUAAACAUUUCAGGGGGUAUCAUACCAUGUCUUCAGAAAACAUUUCUGGUUAACUGUAUCUUCUGUAUGUAGCUCAUGAGGUCCAUUUAUCAGAAUUUAGU